rnacentral:lncRNA from 1 species
AUAUGACAUUUGGAUUGUCUUUAUUGUUUUGAAACUUCUGUAUGUGUAAUGUUUACUGUUAAUUUUUAUUGUUUAUUUCACUUUAUAUAUUCACUUUAUAUAUUAUCUACCUCACUUGCUUUGGCAAUGUUAACACAUGUUUCCCAUGCCAAUAAGGCCCUUGAAUUGAACUGAAUUGACAGGGAGAGAGAAGUGAAACAGCAGAGAAAGAGAGAGGUGCCCCGUCCCAUGGUCAUCAACAGAGUUGUGGACUCGAGACAGAAAUUUGAUGACUUCAGACUCAACUCGAUAUAAAAUAACUUGAGACUUGACUUGGACUUGGUGCCUUAAGACUUUGUCUUGAGACUGAUAACUUAAAAUGAUCUGUUCAGGUUUUGUAACUCGGGUUGAGUACUCUCCAUGCAGCCAUAGACAUCAUGUGUUAAGACUCAUGACUAGUUAACACAGCCACAAUGUUAGAGUGAUGGCUGAACUCUGCCCAUAUCUACAAUCUCUCUUUUUUACAUGUAUUUUUGGGGCUUUUUUUUACAUUGUGUCUGUGGAAUCUGACUUAAUGGUUGCUAUCUAGUGGAAACCCUGUCCCAUAGAAGUUAGUGGAGGGGGAGGAGUUUCAGUACUUCCUCAGUUGUCGGAGUUAUGCUGCCCCUGACAUACAGACAUUAUCUUCUCACAAACACACUCUGUUCUCACACACUGUCAGACACUCUCACGGUUGUAUUCAUUACUGUCUGUUGCUCUUUCAAAACACAGGAACAGGGACAGGAGCAGAAUGACUGGGCUUUAGCCUGGUGGAGGGGAGUAACUGGGGGUAAACUGAGGACACACUGGGACUACUGUACCACUUCCACCCUCAUGACAAAUGAAGUGACAGGAGAGAACAGACAGCAGGACAGAGGUUGGUUCCAUUUCACCCUGCCGUCUGUACCCGCAGCCUGGAGCUGAGGCUAGUAGGUCACUGACAUGAGAAGACAGAGAGCAGUAACUUUCUCAUUCAGACAGAUAUGCUGCUGUAGGUAUAUCUAUAAGACAUGGGUAACAGGCUACCAUGAAGGUAUAGUAGAGUACAGGGCAUGGUGUGUCAGUGUGACGUUGUGUUAGGUGUGUGUACUGUAGAGGCAGUACUGUCAGUCACAUUGUUACUAAAAGUGCAGCUUGUUGUGUUCUGUGUCUCGUGCAUAGGCCAUAGUGCUGUAGCUGUCUUGAGAUCAGGGUGGCUGGUGAGGUCAUAGUCUAGUAGCUGUAUUGAGAUCAGGGUGGCUGGUGAGGUUAUAGUGCUAGUAGCUGUCUUGAGAUCAGGGUGGCUGGUGAGGUCAUAGUGCUAGUAGCUGUCUUGAGAUCAGGUGUGGCUGGUGAGGUCAUAGUGCUAGUAGCUGUCUUGAGAUCAGGGUGGCUGGUGAGGUCAUAGUGCUAGUAGUGCUAGUAGCUGUCUUGAGAUCAGGGUGCUGGUGAGGUCAUA